UACAGAGGCCUCGAGCGUUAGGCGGAAUCACGGGGCUUAAAGCGUGUGUAGGUGGAGUUCUAAGUACCUUGUGAAAUCCCACGGCUCAACCGUGGAACUGCUGGGUAUACUGGUUCUCUUGAGGUACCUAGGGGCGAGCGGAACAAGUGGUGGAGCGGUGAAAUGCGUAGAUAUCACUUGGAACGCCAACGGUGAAAACAGCUCGCUGGGGGUAUCCUGACACUGAGACACGAAAGCCAGGGGAGCAAACGGG
rnacentral:rRNA from 1 species